CGAUACUUAGAGGGCUCUUCUGAAUUCAUAGGAACGGAGUACUCUUGUUGCCAAAUCACUGUUCCAUUGCAAUUGUUAAUCUGAAAUUUUUGAUGUUUUAUAGAUUCUUGAACCAUUAUUAAUCUCAACUGUGAUCUAAUUAACACCUAUAAUGAACACAAUUCUAACUAAUUAGCCAUUUAAAACACUUCUCAUUAACUAUAUUUUAUCGUUCUUAAUGGACAGUCUUCAACGUGAGGCCUUACAGAUUCUCAAUAACGACUUUCCACAUUUAAAAUACUAUCUUGUAAGUCAUCUAAAGAGUAAAAAUCAUUCUUCUGUUGUAAUUAAACUUAGAACCAGAAAAUCUUGCGUGAUGAUAUAAAUCUAUAAUGGUUAAACAUGGUGACAAACUUUCAAUAAGAAAUAUUUUUCAAAGCACUACAGACUACACUCCCAUUCCAAAAACUCCUUUACUUUCCACUUAACAAAUAAACAGUUUUAUUGAAGAACAGUUUUUUUCUUCAUUGCAUAACCAUGAAUUUGAACUAAAUUAAUAGGUAAUUAGUGAUAUCUUGUAAACUUUCAAAUUAUAUACUUCAAUUGCUGUAAGUACUUAUGAAUAAAAGUAAAUAAAAUCCUUCUAUAUUUGUUCUUCUAUGGUUUUUAGUACAAAUGGUAAGAACAAGUUUUGCACCAAACCAGGGUAUUUAGUUUAUAGAUGAAAGCUUCUAGCCACAUUACUUUUGUCUUUAACAAAUUUAUUAUUAUUAUAUAAGUUUGAUAGUAUCACAUUCACGAGUCUAACUGUGCCAAGGCCUGGAAGAAAAUUAAUAUAAAGGGACGCUUGUCAUAACUGUUUCCAUCAAUAAGAACUAAGUGCUAUCUCCCAUGAUUAGGUCGGCUACAAGGAUCAAACAAUGUCAUCUCCAGCUAUUUGAUACUGACUUGGACCAUAGCAACCUGAACAUCAAGUACCCUGCACCCAACAGUCAUCAUCCAUGUCCCACACAGCAUUUCUGUUGGGUGGAAGAGUGCAUUCUUUAUGACUCUCACAACAGGAGAAGAAUGCAUCUAUAUCUACAUUAAUAUGUACAAAUGGAUUGCAUGGAAAUAUAUAUAUAUAUAUAUAUAUAUAUAUAUAUAUAGAUAGAUAGAUAGAUAGAUAGAUAUAGAUAUAUAUAUAUAUAUACAAAGCAUGAUUUGUAUUUUCUACCAGAAAAAUACACUACACAUUACAAUGAAGACACACAACCUACAAAAGGAACCUAGUUCUUACUGUCCACUCUCCUUAUGUUCAUCCUUGUUUGUCUCCAAAUUAAAUCCAAACCCAGCAUCAUCAUACAAAUUUGGAACCAACUGACCAACAUUGCACUCAUUCUUUUGUUCAG
rnacentral:lncRNA from 1 species